rnacentral:rRNA from 1 species
UACGGGGGGGCAAGCGUUGUUCGGAAUUACUGGCGUAAAGGGCUCGUAGGCGGCCAACUAAGUCAGACGUGAAAUCCCCAGGCUCAACCUGGGAACUGCGUCUGAUACUGGAUGGCUUGAAUCCGGGAGAGGGGAUGCAGAAUUCCAGGUGUAGCGGUGAAAUGCGUAGAUAUCUGGAGGAAUACCGGUGGCGAAGGCGGCAUCCUGGACCGGCAUUGACGCUGAGGAGCGAA